AUCUUAUUUUGAGAAGCUAAGGGACUUGGCCCAUAGAUGCUUCAGCAACCGGCUAUAGAGUACGGUGCUAAAACCAACGAAGAUAUUCGAAUGAUAAGUA
rnacentral:ncRNA from 1 species